rnacentral:misc_RNA from 1 species
UCAACUACUUUACUGCUUAUUGCUCUACACUAUUGCAGAGCUUUUCCAAAAUUUAUUUCCAAGCCACAGACUCACU